GCGCCUGUAGCUCAGCUUGGAUAGAGCGAAUGCCUCCUAAGCAUAGGAUAUGUAUAUACUUACUAUCCGCUUUUUAGGUCCGGAGUUCAAAUCUUCGCAGGCGCG
rnacentral:tRNA from 1 species